UUUUAAUGGGUAUUGUAUUGUAUUUUUCUAGUCAAAUUCUUUACAAUAAGCAUUGCAUUUGUACUACUGAUUGUGUCAUUUACUUUUUUCAUGUGGAUUAGGACUCUCUUUGUAAUUUAUUUGUGUGGAUUUUCAUCUCUGCAUUUCUUUGUUUGAAUCUUUAAUUGUAGUAGUGUGCUUUGUUAGUUUUUGAUGGUUUGCAGACGCCAUAAAAAGUAAUAAAAGAGUGCUUUAUUUUGUCAGUCGAACAAGAUUGUUAAAUGCUCUGAAAUCAACCAAAACAAUGUUAUCUACUUAGGGUGCCCUUCUGUAAGGUGUACUUCUAGGGCUUUGUCACAGGCUUCCUCUAAUUGUAUCGUGUUCAGUUUUGAGGGGACUUAUUUGUACACAUGCUUUUCUUCAUAAUAAAAAAGAAUUAGCAAGCCACCAUGAGGUCUAUCUCUGUCAAACAACUAGAAAAAUAGCCCUAAUGUGUGGAUUAGUGUUCUUUGUUAGUUCAUCGUGAUUGCAGACGCCAUAAAAAGUAAUAAAAGAUGGCUUUAUUUUGCCAGUUGAACAAGAUUGUCAAAUGCUUUGUUUGUGUAGGGAAAUCAACCAAAAACAAUGUUAUCUUAAUUAGGAUGCCCUGCUGUUAGGUCUACUUCUAGGGCUUUGUCAUAGGCUUCCUCUAAUUGUAUCAUGUGCAGUUUUGUGGGGACUUAUUUGUACACACACGCUUUUCUUCUCAAUAAACAAGAAUUAGCAAGCCACCAUGUGGUCGAUCUCUGUCAAACAACCAAGAAAAGACAAUAAUAUCUGUGAACUAACAGAAGGUCCCUUGACACCCAAAAGAACCAUAAUGUGUCACCGUCAUAUGGAUGCUUACAUAUUCUCUAUAAUAAGUUUAGAAAAGCAAGUAGAAGUGCCUUCCACCAAGCAGGUUCUACAAUCUACUCUUGUCAACCACGGGCUAUUUUCUAGUUUGAUAGUCAGUACAGGCAUUUGUUUCCUUUCUAAUUGACAAACUAGGUUUAGAAAAACAAGUACAUGGUAGGCUCUGCAAUCUAGUCUUGCCAACCACAGGGCCAUAUUUAGGAUGCCUCUCUAAUUUAUGGAUUUAGUAAACUUAUUAAUUUUAAUAACAAACCAGGCUUAGAAAACCACAGGGCCAUUUUUAGAAUGCCUCUCUAAUUUAUGGAAUUAGUAAACUGAUUAAUUUUUGUGACACACCAGGCUUAGAAAAACAAUCAGAUGUGCCUUCCACCAGGCAGGUUUUGCAAUCUAGUCUUGACAGCCACAGGGCCACUUUCCAUCUCAAUAGUCAGUAUAAUACUAUACAACAUUCUUUUUCUUUUUAAUUUAUGGAUCUAGUAAACUGGUUAAUUCUCAUGACAAACUAGACUUAGAAAAAUAAGUAGAUGUGUCUUCCACCAAGCAGGCUAUGCAAUCUUCUCUUGUCAACCACAUGCUAUUUUGCAGCUCAAUAGUCAGUACAAGCAUUCUUUUCUUUGUAAUUUAUGGAUUUAGUGAAUGGUUAAAACUUAAUUUUUAUGAAAAUCUAGGCUUAUAAAACAACUGUAGAUGUGUCUUCCACCAACUAAGCUUUGCAAUUUACUAUUGUCAACCACAGGCCAUUUUGCAGCUCAAUGGUCAGUAUAAGUAUUCUUUUCCUUUGUAAUUUAUGGAUUUAGUUAAUUAGUUAAUUUUUAUGACAAACCAGGUUUUAAAAAACAAGAAGACGUGUCUUCCACCAAGUAGGCUCUGCAUUCUAUUGUUGUCAACCACAAGCCAUUUUGCAACUCAAUAGUCAGUAUAAGCAUUCUUUUCCUUUCUAAUUUUACGGAUUUAAUAAACUGGCUACUUUUUAUGACAAACUAGGCUGAAAAAACAAGUAGAUGUGCCUUCUACCAAGUAGGCUUUGCAAUCUACUCUUGUCAACCACAGGCCAUUUUGCAGCUCAAUAGUUAGUACAAGCAUUCUUUUCCUUUCUAAUUUAUGGAUUUAGUAAACUGGUUAAUUUUUAUGAUGAACUAGGCUUAAAAAAACAAGUAGAUGUGCCUUCCAAGAAAUAGGCUCUGCUAUCCACUCUUGUCAACCAGAAGCCAUUUUGCAGCACAACAGUCAGUACAAGCAUUAUUUUCCUUUCUAAUUUAUGAAUAUAUUAAACUGGUUAAUUUUUAUGACAAACUAGGCUUAAAAAAACAAGUAGAUGUGCCUUCCACCAAUUUGGCUCUGCAAUCUACUCUUGUCAACCACGAGCCAUUUUCCAGCUUAAUAGUCAUUACAAGCAUUCUUUUCCUUUCUAAUUUAUGGAUUUAGUAAAUUGGUUAAUUUUUUAACAAACUAGGCUUAGAAAAGCAAGUAGAUGUGCCCUCCACCAACUAGGCUUUGCAAUCUACAUUUGUCAACCACAGGUAAUUUUGCAGCUCAAUAGUCAGUACAGGCAUUCUUUCCUUUCUAAUUUAUGGAUUUAGUAAACUGGUUAAUUUUAAUGACAAAACUAGGCUUAAAAAAAACAAGUAGAUGUACCUUCCACCAACUAGGCUCUGCAAUCUACUCUUGUCAACAACAGGCCAUUUUCCAGCUCAAUAGUUAGUACAGUCAUUCUUGUCCUUUCUAAUUUAUGGACUGAUUAAUUUUUAUGAUGAACUAGGCUUAGAAAAUCAAGUAGAUGUGCUUUCCACCAAGCAGCCUCUUCUGCAAUCUAGUCUUGUCAACAACAUGCCAUUUUCCAGCUCAUAGUCAGUUCAGGUAUUCUUUUCCUUUCUAAUUUUUGGAUUUAAUGAACUGGUUGAUUUUUAUGAUAAACUAGACUUAGAACAACAAAUAGAUGUGCCUUCCUCCAAGCAGCCCCUGCGAUCUACUCUUGUCAACAACAAGCCAUUUUCCUGCGAUCUACUCUUGUCAACAACAAGCCAUUUUCCAGCUCAUAGUCAUUUCAGGCAUUCUUUUCCUUUCUAAUUUAUAGAUUUCAUGAAUUGGUUGAUUUUUUUAUGACAAACUAGACUUACAACAACAAAUAGAUGUGCCUUCCACAAACAACUUCUUCAACCUGCAGAUUACGUAUUUUCUCUUGCAGAUUUUGCAAACUCAGGUAAGUUUGCCUCACUUACAUUUAUAUUAUUUGCAUUUCUGGUUUCUGCUUUAUACAUUUAUACUAUCGUACUGUCCCUUUUUAAAGUUUUUGACUCAUUUACCUCAAGGCCUUAGCCUAUAUUCACAUAUUUACAGAAAAGUGAUAAGAAAACAAAACACAAUUACAUUAAACCGCUAUAUGACGAAAGCAAGAACAUUGAGGGGAAGGAGUAUCCCAUUUACACUGCUAAAUUAAAUCUAUACAUCAAUUCCAAUCGAUCAUUAAACUUAGUGUUAAAUUUUUAAGGUCAUUCAGAGAUUGUUGCUUUUUUUUAUUAAGCUAUUAAAAUGAAUUGCAUGAGGGAAAUUCAAUCGAUAGAAAUGGACGAUGUAGAUAAAUAGAUGUAUAGAAAGGUAAAAGUUAAUCUGGGGUGUGGGAGUACUUAUCCCAAAUGCUUGGGCCUCUUCCUCCUUCCCUUGCAACUCCUCCAUCCUGUUGUGAAGCAGAGGCUGUACCAAAUAUGAGAAUCCAGUGGGAAUUCUACAAGAGCCACCUACCACAUACACACCAGUACAGAAGCUCUCAAUCUCAGUAAACUAUAAUGAAUGCUAUUCAUUAUUCUCUGCAUUGGAUCUGAGUUUCAGUUCCAAUACAGAGAAUGCAGUUAUGCCAUGACGAUAAUUAGAAUUAAUAUUGAAUAAAAUUAUGGAUCAGUACUUCUCCAACGUGUACGGUGGGGGCCUAGAAAAAUACAGAUGCAUUUUCAGUCUCCAUACAAGCUCUUCCUUGGAAAUGCUAAAUAGAUGAUGAAGAUGAUGCAGCAGGCCAGUUCUAAUCCUAUGCGAUAGUUUUCUCAUUCUAUCAUCAGUGGACCAAAAUCUAUGGUGCAGUCUUGCUAUCAUUGUUUUUUUUCUCUAUUGUUAUUCUUGUAACAGUUUUUUCUCCUCCUUUUUUAAGAAACACUGAUUGUUAGACUAGGAAUCUCCUCUAGGACCUCCCAUUAGCAUGCUUGGGUUCUUAACUAUUGAGCUACUGGUCUCUUUGGGGUUAUAAGAAUAGAUUGCUUCUUUAACAACCCAUUUAAACCAUACAUUUUGGUUGUAAAUCCUAUUGUUGUUUUAGAUAAACUAUCUAGAACUCCAAUCUAGUGAGGCAUGAAUUGUUCUUUAAUGUAUGAGCAGGGAAUUACUUCUAUGGGCAGACUACUGAGGGCUAACCACCUUCAGUAGUCCUACCAGUAACAUCUUGCCGACACAAGUGGUUCUGUAAGGACUCAUCACAGGGUGAAGAAAGGCCAAAAUAUAUCUGAUGCCUGUCGAACGAAUAGUGUUUAAAUUUCUAACUCUGAAAUCUAAUGGGUUGAUCUCCAUCAUACUAACUUUUUUUUUCUUGGGGUGUGAUUUUGCAUUACAAGGAGCACAUUCUUGCUUUGGUUUGGACCUGUUGCAGGAACAAAUAUUGUAGAUCCCCCAGCUGGUGCAAGAGAUACUCUCUGUGAGGUCUGAUGAUUAUGAGAAAAUUGAGGCCAAUAAUGCUCUCAAGAAAUUGGAAGGUGAAGAGUUACUGGACUUGAAAGGUGAGAAAUGGGCUCAGCACAGAAGAAUCAUCAAUCCUGCUUUUCACAUGGAAAAUAUCAAAAAGGUUUAUUUCUUUUAACAUGGGUUGGAGGAGUUAUGCUUUUCAACAAUGAGCUAUAAAUUCGAUUGCUAAGGUACAUUCAAGAAUUCAAACUUCUUAUUCCAGAGAAUUUAAUGUUUUUGCUAACCAAUAGAGAAGGGCUCAAGACUGCUAGAAUAGUGCUCUAUUUCCUUUAGGUCAUUCAAACUUUAGCUCCCUACUGUCUCAUAGAUGGCUAGUAAAUGUACAAAUUAUUUCAUGAUUUUGAUGCUAAAGUUUUUUUAUUAAUGUUCGGUGUGAAAUGAGCACUGUGCAGCUUUAUUUUGGAUUGGAAGAAAUAAUACAAAAAAGAAGUCAAAGAAUGCUAUAAUUUUAAAGAUUUCAAUAGCUUGCUUAAUUGGAAAUGGUUGUGUAGUGAUAAAAAUUUGAAGAACUUGUAAAUAAACUUAACAAUUAUAAUUAAUAAAAAGUUUUUCAUUUUAAGGAGGGGUAGGAACCCUCCAUAAACUCUUUAA